ACUCGUCCCUUGCCUUCCCGCCUUUGGGACAACGACCCCCAUUGUUAGGGCAGAGAUAUGCGCAYCUCGUCAUUAUAUAAAGAUCUCUGCUUUAUCCCCUUACAACAGUGUAUGAUCAUAUCAAUCGGUUUCACCGGCGCUACACGGAAUGCAAUAAUAUGUAUUAUAAGUAAAUGGACAGCUGUGCUUCAGACUGGAGACCCAGUCAGCGAGGAGAUGAGGAUGCAUUUGGUGUGAAGGACAUUCCACUUGGGUUGGCUUUGUUUGCAGAUUUAGAGUCACCUUUCAUUAAGGUAGAGAGACCGGAUGAAGGACCAUGGAGAAGGGGCGCAACAUGGAGGACCAAGUGGAUGGGGAAACACAAGAUCCAGCAAUCAUGCUAUCCAGAAUCUCCCCAUUGAGAAUCAUCAGCACUUGGAAGAAGAGGAGAAUCAUGCCCCACUAACCCUCCUAGAGGAGCAGCUGGCAGAAGAUCCAGAGAAGCUCAGUAAGCUGCACCAGUUUGAGAACCGUGGAGAGCAGGAGACCAGUGUUCUGGAGUUUUUAAUAAAGAUGGAGAAGGAGGAAGAACAUUCUGGAUUCAGUCAGGAUGGAUGUCAACAGAGGAACACAGAAAAGCAGGAGAAUCCCUUGAGCUCUGAGUUUGUAAUGGAUGAAAGAGACCGUCAACUGUGGUCGUCUAUAGUUCAAGGGAAUGACCCUGACAUAGUCAUAGACACUGACUUUCCUCAUUUCUGUUGUUGCAGUAUUCAGAGUUUUUCAGAUUGCGCCGAAGCUCAGCCCCUAUCCCAAAUGGCACACUAUAUUCCCUAUUUAGUGCACUACUUUUGAUCAGAGCCCUGACUUUUGUUUUGGAUCUGAAACUAAAUAAUUGUGUUCAUUGCUACACACCAGAGGGCAGUGUAACACUUCAUUCAAAAAAUAGCAAAUGGUCAGUCACUAGUGUGGUUUUGCUGAGGGAACAAGAACUAACCCAAAUGUAAAGUUGUCCUUUACUGUUGGGUCCUUUAAAAUAAAAAAUAAAACUGUAAUGGAGGGGUUGUCAACUCUGGAGGGGUUGUCAUAUGCCAGAAAUAGAGAAAGCUAUGAUGCUUUUCUAAGUAGUAAGGGCUUUUCAAUAAAACACAUCUUUAUUUUCUAUUAGUUACAGCGAACCACGGAAAAGUGUCUUCCCCUUGCACCUAGCCGUAUUUCACUGUUGUAGACAGGAGGCCGUCGCAGGUUUAGAACUACUGAAUUUAUUUAAGCACCAUAGAACAAAGCGGGGAAAAACCCAAACACUGUUGUGCUCAAAAUAUAUCUUCAUAAUGAAAAG